rnacentral:rRNA from 1 species
CAGUCGCCGCGGUAAUACGGAGGAUCCAAGCGUUAUCCGGAAUCAUUGGGUUUAAAGGGUCCGUAGGCGGUCUUGUAAGUCAGUGGUGAAAGCCCAUCGCUCAACGGUGGAACGGCCAUUGAUACUGCAGGACUUGAAUUAUUGGGAAGUAACUAGAAUAUGUAGUGUAGCGGUGAAAUGCUUAGAGAUUACAUGGAAUACCAAUUGCGAAGGCAGGUUACUACCAAUUGAUUGACGCUGAUGGACGAAAGCGUGGGUAGCGAACAGGAUUAGAGACCCCUGUAGUCACUGUCUCUUAUAC